UUGGAGGGCAAGUCUGGUGCCAGCAGCCGCGGUAAUUCCAGCUCCAAUAGCGUAUAUUAAAGUUGUUGCAGUUAAAAAGCUCGUAGUUGAAUUUCGGGGUUCAUCCGUUGGUCGGGCUUUUUUGGUCUGUACUGGCGUGAUGGAUUCCUACCCUCUGAAUAACCAGCAUGUCAUUAAUUUGGUGCGCUGGGGAAGCAGGACUGUUACCUUGAAAAAAUUAGAGUGCUUAAAGCAGGCUAUCGCCUGAAUACAUUAGCAUGGAAUAAUGAAAUAGGACGGCAUGGUUCUAUUUUGUUGGUUUCUAGGAUCACCGUAAUGAUUAAUAGGGAUAGUUGGGGGCAUUAGUAUUCAAUUGUCAGAGGUGAAAUUCUUGGAUUUAUUGAAGACUAACUUCUGCGAAAGCAUUUGCCAAGGAUGUUUUCAUUAAUCAAGAACGAAAGUUAGGGGAUCGAAGACGAUCAGAUACCGUCGUAGUCUUAACCAUAAACUAUGCCGACUAGGGAUCGGACGAUGUUAAUUUUUUAAUGACUCGUUCGGCGCCUUACGGGAAAC
rnacentral:rRNA from 1 species